ensembl:lncRNA
CCCCUCCUCCAUCUCCGCGGCAAUGGUUCACGUUUUAAGGACUACGGUAAUCUUUCGCUGGGAAGCUUCACUCGUUUCUGAAGUAGCAGCUGGACAGACGUUGCUCUCGCCCCGUCCUCGUCAAACCACUUCACAGGCCAUUCAAUUAGCUGCAGAAGCACGGGAGAUGGAGCCAUUACGGCGCUGAUGAGAUGCACAAGGACAGGUUUUAAAGUGUUCGAUCUCGUGACUGCCACGGCGAAGCUGUUGUCCGUGGGUACCAUCCACAGGAUUUACUCUCAACCCGUUUCCUGGUUACUGGUCCAGAAGAAGCCGAGACGUCCCCUCUUUCCUUUCGUCCACUUUCCCCCUCCGGUGAAGCGCGGCCUGCCUCUGCUGAGGCCUCGGACCGCUUUCAGCAGGCCAGGCUCGUCCCGUGCUCCUCGGGGCCUCUGGCCCGGAUCGUGAACGCGCUUUGCUCCGCCCGCCGGUAACAGCCGCUGAGGUAGCUGCACAGACACCUGAGGAAACACCACCCAAGUACAGACGUUAGGUGGGAACGGACUCGAGGGGCACGAGUGUACCAAAGAUCCGCUCUCCAGGGAAGGGAAGAUGUCAGCUGAAAUGUAUUUUUUCCAAUAUUCAGCUUCAACGGUAAACAAAGAGGCCCCUGAGGCCCCGCCUCCUCGCCUACCACCACGAUUGUUUAUUCAAAGUUCACGGAUAUUAAACAUGUCACCUGUUUAUAACCCA